CGUCUCUCAUCACCAUCAUCAUCCACAAGCAUAACUUCCUCAAGGAAGGAAGACACCUUCCCCACUUCCCCUUCCCCUUCCCUCCUUAGUCGCCAUAUUACUACUCUAUUAGAAGAUAUAUUUAGAUACAGGAAAAGUUACUUAAAUAGUCUGCUACUACUUUUGAAUAGAUAGGUAAGCAUCUCUCGCAAAGUGGGUUUGGGACUAUGGGUUUGGGUUUUGGGAAGGGUUCCUCAAAACCAUAAAAACAGAAACGCCGUUACCCUCAAUCCACUCCGUUUCCCGUUGAGUCUUAAGUCACGUGUUUACGUGCCUUUACGAUUUUAAUCAACAAUCAACAAAACAAUCAAAAACCCAGAUUGAGAUUUGUGUGUGUGAGAGAGAGAGAGAGAGAGAGAGAGAGAGUACAAAAGCCCCGAACUGUCUGCUUUUGCCAGAUGGCCUUAGAACAAUUGAGCCUCGCUGUGGCUGCUGCUCCUCCCCACUCUGACUCCCCUUCCCCCUCCCCCUCCACCGCCGCCCUCAACGGCCGUCAACCCCCCACCACCGCCCUCGACCCCCACAAAGAUGACGACUCCGCCAAAGUCCCCAGGCUCCCCCGCUGGACCCGCCAAGAAAUCCUCGUCCUCAUUCAGGGCAAAAGGGUCGCCGAGAACCGCGUCCGCAGAGGCCGCACCGCCGGCCUCGCCUUCGGCUCCGCCCACGUCGAGCCCAAAUGGGCCUCUGUUUCUUCUUACUGCAAGAGGCACGGCGUCAACCGCGGCCCCGUCCAGUGCAGGAAGAGAUGGAGCAAUCUGGCCGGGGACUUUAAGAAGAUCAAAGAGUGGGAGUCUCAGAUAAGGGAAGAAACCGACUCGUUUUGGCUCAUGAGGAACGAUUUGAGGAGGGAGAGGAAGCUUCCCGGAUUCUUCGAUAGAGAGGUUUACGAUAUUCUCGACGGCGGAGGCCGGGCCGAUGGUGCCACCCCCGCCGCUGAGGAGGGAGCAGAAGAGCUAGUUUUGGCUUUGGCGCCCUCUGCCACCGAGGGUCCUGAGGAGGCCGACGCUGAGACAGAGGCUGUGUUUGACAGUGGUCGGAGCGCUGCAGCUGACGAUGGCUUGUUCUCUGAUUUUGACCAGUCCGUUCAGGAGGAGGUUGUGGGUAGCCCGGAUAAGGAGUUCCGGCCGGCUAACGAGACUCCCGUUACCGCUGUUCCGGCGCCUACUCCAAUUUCAGAGAAGCAGUAUCAACCAAUCUCUCAAGGGCAUCCUGCUCAAGGCACCAGUUUCGAGAAACAACCUUCUUUAAACCCAGAGAUAGGAAGCACUCAGGAAGGAAAGAAACGAAAGAGGUAUAUUGCAGAAGUUGAUGAACAAGAUGAAAUGAAAAGCCUGCAUGAUCAGUUAAUUGAAGCUUUUGAAAGGAAUGGUAAAUUGCUGAGCUCCCAACUAGAAUCUCAGAACGUUCACUUGCAAUUGGAUAGGGAGCAGCGGAAGGAUCAAGCUAAUAGCUUGAUUUCUGUACUUCACAAGCUUGCAGAUGCCUUGGGACGAAUUGCUGAUAAGUUGUAGUAGUUAAUAGUCCUCAAGUUCAGUUUACAGAAAUAUGUCAAGAAAUGGAUGAGUUAUAGCCAGGGCUCUGAAUAGUUUGAUUGGUCAAAUCAGAUUCAUUGAAGGCUGAGGUUGGUUUCCUGAUUAACGCAAUGGCUGAUAAGAUACGUCGCAUGCCCAUCUCCCUCCCUGGAAAAUUUUUAACAGCUUAUUAAACAUCAAUUUGAUGCAUGCAUGGUGGACUGCUGCAACUUCAUCUUCAUCUUUUGGAGGAAUUUCUUUUAAGGUUGGGUGUUGGAUGCUCAAUGCAUUUCACAGCAUGAGUUUCAACUAUAAUGUGUGUACUUGGAAGGAAGGAUUUAAUAGAUAAUCUGGCACCUCAGAGGAAGAGGUGGUUUAUAUAUAUAUAAAUAUAAACCUCAUUUGCGUCUUGGUGCUAUUGUUUGCAUAAUCCUCAGAAGUUGGAUCAUUGACUUGUUUGGUAUUUGCAUCUUCUCCAUCGUUCUUUUGUGAGCCUAAUUCAAAAAAUCAUCUGUCAAGGAGAGGUCAAGAGAGAGGUGCUUUGCGGGCGUUAACUGCUGCAUCUUUUGCAUCUUCUUUCUUCAUUAGAGUAUAAAUGUGGAUCUUGGGUGUUCCCUUUGGAUAUCAAUCAACCUAGCCAGCAGGUAGACAGCGAUGGUGUCGUCGGAAGGCUGCAGGUUAAAGAUGACAUGUCUCUGCUGUUGUAUAUAUAGUUGAAGAGUGUGUUCUGCAUUUUCUUUUCUUUCCCUUAAAACGGGAGCAUCAAUCUUAUGUACUUGCAAGCGUUUUGUUUGUCUUCCUUGGAGCUGGAGCCAGUAGUUAAGUAAUAUAAUAAUAAAAUAUUAGGGGGUUGUUGGAGUCAUGGUUGAAUAUGACUGACGUACAAAUGCAAGCAAGGUUCCGGAAAGACGCAGGACAGCAAAAGCUAAUUGGUUCCAUAACCCCUCGAUUCUC